CCGCCCGUCACAUCAUGAAAGCCGGUUGUACCCGAAGUCCGCAAGCGAACUCGCAAGAGGAGUAGCGACCGAAGGUAUGGCUGGUGAUUGGGAUG
rnacentral:rRNA from 1 species